AGUCGAGGGGUAGGGCACUUCGGUGCUUGAGACCGGCGCACGGGUGCGUAACGCGUAUGCAAUCUGCCUUCCACAGAGGGAUAGCCCAGAGAAAUUUGGAUUAAUACCUCAUAGCAUCAUGACCCGGCAUCGGGAUAUGAUUAAAGUCACAACGGUGGAAGAUGAGCAUGCGUCCCAUUAGCUAGUUGGUAAGGUAACGGCUUACCAAGGCUACGAUGGGUAGGGGUCCUGAGAGGGAGAUCCCCCACACUGGUACUGAGACACGGACCAGACUCCUACGGGAGGCAGCAGUGAGGAAUAUUGGUCAAUGGGCGCAAGCCUGAACCAGCCAUGCCGCGUGCAGGAUGACGGUCCUAUGGAUUGUAAACUGCUUUUGUACGGGAAGAAACCCUCCUACGUGUAGGAGCUUGACGGUACCGUAAGAAUAAGGAUCGGCUAACUCCGUGCCAGCAGCCGCGGUAAUACGGAGGAUCCAAGCGUUAUCCGGAAUCAUUGGGUUUAAAGGGUCUGUAGGCGGUCUUGUAAGUCAGUGGUGAAAGCCCAUCGCUCAACGGUGGAACGGCCAUUGAUACUGCUGGACUUGAAUUAUUGGGAAGCAACUAGAAUAUGUAGUGUAGCGGUGAAAUGCUUAGAGAUUACAUGGAAUACCAAUUGCGAAGGCAGGUUGCUACCAAUGGAUUGACGCUGAUGGACGAAAGCGUGNUAGCGAACAGGAUUAGAUACCCUGGUAGUCCACGCCGUAAACGAUGGAUACUAGCUGUUGGGCGCAAGUUCAGUGGCUAAGCGAAAGUGAUAAGUAUCCCACCUGGGGAGUACGAACGCAAGUUUGAAACUCAAAGGAAUUGACGGGGGCCCGCACAAGCGGUGGAGCAUGUGGUUUAAUUCGAUGAUACGCGAGGAACCUUACCAAGGCUUAAAUGCAGACUGACCGGUUUGGAAACAGACCUUUCGCAAGACGGUCUACAA
rnacentral:rRNA from 1 species